GCAGCGGUAGUCCAGCUGGUUAGAAUGCCGCCCUGUCACGGCGGAGGUCGCGGGUUCGAGCCCCGUCCGCUGCGCCA
rnacentral:tRNA from 1 species